UACGUAGGGUGCAGGCGUUAAUCGGAAUUACUAGGCGUAAAGCGUGCGCAGGCGGUCUUUUAAGUCAGAUGUGAAAUCCCCGGGCUUAACCUGGGAACUGCGUUUGAAACUGGAAGGCUUGAGUGUGGCAGAGGGGGGUGGAAUUCCACGUGUAGCAGUGAAAUGCGUAGAGAUGUGGAGGAACACCGAUGGCGAAGGCAGCCCCCUGGGCUAACACUGACGCUCAUGCACGAAAGCGUGGGGAGCAAACAGG
rnacentral:rRNA from 1 species